rnacentral:rRNA from 1 species
GGGGGGGCGAAGCGUUGUUCGGAAUUACUGGGCGUAAAGAGCUCGUAGGCGGCCAUGCAAGUCGGACGUGAAAUCCCUCGGCUCAACCGAGGAACUGCGUCCGAAACUGCGUGGCUAGAAGCCGAGAGAGGGAUGCGGAAUUCCAGGUGUAGCGGUGAAAUGCGUAGAUAUCUGGAGGAACACCGGUGGCGAAGGCGGCAUCCUGGAACGGCCUUGACGCUGAGGAGCGAAAGCCGGGGGAGCAAACGGGGAUUAGAUACCCCGGUAGUCCUGGCCCUAAACGAUGAAUGCUUGGUGUGGUGGGUAUCGAUCCCCUGCCGUGCCGAAGCUAACGCAUUAAGCAUUCCGCCUGGGGGAUACGGUCGCAAGGCUG